UACGAGAGGCCCAAACGUUAUUCGGAAUUACUGGGCUUAAAGAGUUCGUAGGCGGCAUGAAAAGUAGGGUGUGAAAGCCCUCGGCUCAACCGAGGAAUUGCGCUCUAAACUGUCGCGCUCGAGGAACCUAGAGGUGAGCAGAACAGAUGGUGGAGCGGUGAAAUGCGUUGAUAUCAUCUGGAAUACCGGAGGCGAAGGCGGCUCACUGGGGGUUUUCUGACGCUGAGGAACGAAAGCCAGGGUAGCGAACGGG
rnacentral:rRNA from 1 species